GGGUUUCGGGCGGCCAUGGCGAAUUUUCGGCAGGAUUUUUAUCCCAGUGAAAAAGGCUUGUAAUUUACCCUGAUCAGCUAAGAUGUUGUUUCACUGGAUUAUUUAAUUGGGCAUAUAAUUGGAUAUCUCUGUCCUCAACCUGGAAGAUAUGUUUUGUUCCUAACCAUCUAUAAUCCAUUCUCUAUGAAGUUCAGACUGUCUGCUCUUCCUUUAGAAAUACACAGUUAGUCAGCCAACAUAGAAACACACAAACUUGAAGGUAAAGUUUCAAUGAGAUACAAUUGUAAUAUAUAUUUAUUUAUUAUUUUAUUAUUUUUUUUUUACAUAUGCAUGUUUAUAAUUUUGAAUUGAUAUGUAAAUGAUAUAUUUAA